CUGUUUAGACCCCAGUCGUAUCUGUGGACAGUGUUAGGAAUGGUUGUUUAGAGAUAGAUGCUGGUGGGUAUGAAUCUCGUAGGUCAGUACUGCCUCUGUACAAGAUAUGGGCUGAUCGGGCGUGUGGGUAAAUUGUACACCUCUACGCAGAGUAAUUAAUCUAUCUGGAUAGCCAAGGCUCUCAGUCAAGAGCUCAUUUGGUCAAAGCUCCCAUUGACUAGUCAUAACCUACUUCACAAAAAUAGUGUAACUCAGGCCGGUAAUCUCUGAUGAAUCCUGAUGCUCAUAAAACUUGAGGACCGAUAGGGAGGUAGAUUUCCCCUCCAGGACCAACAGCUUACAAAUAUUUGCAUUUCAUCCUCUUCAAUAUUAUAACCAAGUACGCUAUGCAUAAAACUAGCCCUCAGGCAACUAGUAGCUACUCCUCGAAAAUCUGCAUGAAAUAAUACAAUAAAUGUGGGAUUUGUUGAGUACCCUUUGUAUGGUGCUCACCCUUGCUUCCCCUUCCUUUCUUUCUUCAGAGGAAGAAGUGCCUGGUGAAGAAAACAAGGACCUUGAGAAUCAGCCAUAGGAGCCAAGCUGCCUGUAGGCUUGAAACUGCUACGUAGGACUCCGCUCUUUAAAUAAGGUUGAGGCUAAGGCCCUUCUUGUACUAUUAGUAGUGUGCAUUCUCUUUACAAUCUAAUGUAAAUUAUCAAUAAAAGUUGUACGAAGUAUGGAUGUGAUACUUCUUGUGUGAAGUACCCAUAUCAUCUACUGAUCCAGGGAAUGAUACGAAUGGCGUUCGGGGUCCCUUUUUAGAGGCAAUCCCCACAUGUCUCGUAGGGUAGUACCGCCAAAAGGCUUUGGUAUGGGCUACCCAAUG
rnacentral:lncRNA from 1 species